GCAAGUCGAACGGAAACAGGACGCUAGGAUUCCUUCGGGAUGACUUUGUCGCUGUCGAGUGGCGGACGGGUGAGUAAUGCAUAGGAAUUUGCCUUGAAGUGGGGGAUAGCCCGGAGAAAUCCGGAUUAAUACCGCAUACCCUCUACGGAGGAAAGCGGGCCUCUUCUUGAAAGCUCGCGCUUUGAGAUAAGUCUACGUCGGAUUAGCUUGUUGGUAGGGUAAAGGCCUACCAAGGCGACGAUCCGUAGCUGGUCUGAGAGGACGAUC
rnacentral:rRNA from 1 species